UAGUGUCAUCAUUUUCGUUAAUCUAUAAAAGACAUAAAACCUUGUUUAACAAAGAAUCAGGUUAAAAAGACAUCUUUUUUCUGUUACUUUACAUUUUGGUUUGACUCUUGCCAUAUCAUGAGAAGUUACAAGAUGUGAGGGAAGGUUCAUUAAGAGUUUUUAAUUAGAGAAUUUGUUCAUACUAAUACUUAUUUCAGGAAUUCAAUAUGAAUAGAAAAUUUAAUCGUCGCAUUUUUGAAGAGGACUUUGACGACACCUCUGAUGAGCGUUCUGAAUCUCAGGAGUCAAAUGAAUGCUAUCGAAAAAAACCUACGAUCAAACCAAAAGUGGUACCUGAAAAAUGUAAAAAUAUUUGCUCAACAACAAAACAAGGCUCUACAAUAAAGCAUGUUUUUCACUCUCUUUUGACACGCAAAGAAGAAGAAAAACCUAUUGAUAUAAAGAAGAAGACUCUUACUGAGUCAGAAGCUUUGCUAACAAAAAUUCAAAAAAUCAAUCUUUCAAAAAACACGGAAUAUAUUGAACCUAAUCGUAAAAAUCUGUGUGAACUAAUUAGAGAACGCGAAACUUGCUUAGAACCUCUUGGUCUUGUUGUUAUUGGUGAGGUCGAUUCGGGAAAAUCUACCCUUAUUGGUCAGUUUUUAUGUCAAAUGGGUGUUAUUAAAUCAAAACACGUCGAACAACUACGCCAAUUAGCACCAAAAAGUGUGAAAGCAGGCGAUGUGUAUUCCUGGAUUUGUGAUGAGCUAGAAGAAGAACGACAAAGGGGUAUGACUCUGUAUGUGACGACAAAAACUUUUGACACGGAAUCUCGUCACAUUACUCUUCUUGAUACUCCUGGGCAUCAAGAAUUAAGACAACGCAUGCUUAAGGCAGCCAUUAUUGCAGAUGUCGCAGUGAUUGUUUUUCCUUUAAAAAAUAGCGAUUCACAAGUCGUGAUUCACUCUGAACUUGAGCGGCACAUUCAAUUAAUUUAUUUUUUAGGAAUUCAAUCUUUUAUUGUGGUGAUUAAUAAAUUUGAUAAAGUCGACUGGAAUGAGGCGUUGUAUCAUGCUGUGGUUGCAGCCUUUAAAAUGUUGUUUAAAAAAUUAAACAUUCACCUGACGCAUUGUCAACUAAUAUUUGUACCAGUAAGUGCUUUGCACCGUUUGAAUCUUGUCGAAACGCCUAAGAAUGAUGAUAGUCUUCAGGACAAAGUAAACUGGUUACAAGAAGGGCAAAUUCCUACUUUGUUACAAGCCAUGAAUCGUAUUUCGAUUGUCGCGUCAAAGGAAAGCCAAUUGCAGUGUGAAAACGCCUUAAUUUUCAGUGUCAUGGAGGCUUAUCAAGUAAACCGAAACACCCACGUUAGUGGGAGAAUAUUACAAGGAAGUCUGACGCCCAAAACUUGUGUUACCGUUCUUCCACUUGAUGUUGAAACGACCGUAUUAGAUAUGAAGAAUAACGAACAAGUGAUCACCGUCGCUUCUUCCUGUUGUUUUGUGAACAGUGUUGCAUUAAAUACUAUAAACGUUUUACCAGGGUCUUUACUAUGUCAUGGACAACAUAACGUUCUUAUUGCCGAUUCUUUUCUUGUUCACUUAAGUGUUCUCAACACGGACACGGCUAUUUUACCAGGUUUUACUUGUACCCUUAAUCUUCAUUUAGCGGAACAUGUUGCGACUAUCAUUUCGUUAAAUGUUCUAUUAUUACGUCAUAAUAAACAGCAAAAUGUAGCUAAUCCACGGUAUCUUUUAGCAAAAGACCAAGCUAUUGUGUCUGUUCAAUGCGACGAGAAGGUAGCGUUUCAAGAAAAUCUUUCUUCAAAAGAAUUAUCAUUUGGAUCACUUCUUUCUCGUGUCGUUUUAUGGUACGAAGGAUCACCAAUAGCCUUUGGUUCUAUUAUGCCCAGUGGAAAGUGACAUACUUUCAGUAUGUUAAGAGACGUCAAUUAAAGCCAACUUUUCGUUACUUUUAACAACACUGUGAUUUUUGUUUCUACUGCCUUGACACUCAGUGGAAUACAUUUAUUAUUUUAUUCUAAUCAAUAAAACGGAAGGAAACAGAAUCUGUUUAAAAAGAUUCAUUUAAUGUUGUGUGACCUGGAUACUGUAAAUGAACUAAAUAAUAGCA